ACUGUCAUAGCUCAGUGGCAGAGCACAUGCUUUGCACGCAAAAGGUCCCAGGUUCAAUCUCAGGCAUCAGUA